rnacentral:rRNA from 1 species
UACGGAGGGGGCAAGCGUUGUUCGGAAUUACUGGGCGUAAAGGGCGCGCAGGCGGCUGCUCAAGUCAGGCGUGAAAGGCCUGGGCUCAACCCGGGAAUUGCGCUUGAGACUGGGCUGGCUUGAGUGCGGGAGAGGAUGGUGGAAUUCCCAGUGUAGAGGUGAAAUUCGUAGAUAUUCGGAAGAACACCAGUGGCGAAGGCGACUCACUGGCCCGUUACUGACGCUGAGGCGCGAAAGCGUGGGGAGCAAACAGG